UUCUUGCAGUUUUUGAAUUUCCCGCCCGUGGUCUCUUGACAAUGAAUCCCGAUAUCGGGAUAAGAUCCCCAACAGGUUCGUUUAAGGACAGAAACCCAGCUUCUUUGGAUAAUAGAGCUAGCUAAUCAAUUAAAUUGCACACCAAUUUCUGAUGUGCAAAUACUUGCAUCAAGCCAAGAGAACAUCAGCUGGAUUUUACAGGAGAGCUAUAUUCCCAGGUGUACUAGGAGCAAUAGACUGUACACACAUUCCUAUUCCCAACCCUGGUGGUGAGAAUGGAGAACUAUUCCGUAAUCGGAAAGGUUACUGCUCCAUCAACGUGCUGUCUGUGAUGACAAAGGUCAGCUCACCAACAGCGUAGCUAGAUGGCCAGGAUCCACCCAUGACAGCAGAAUCUUUGACAAGUCAUCUGGGUGCAAGGCUGGAAAGGGGGGGCAUAUGAAGGCCACCUACUAGGUGACUAUGGAUAUGCCUGUCGUGGGUACCUUAUGACUCUCCUUUUAAACCCCCAGACACCUUAAGAGAGAGAAUACAACACCUCUCAUAUCCUGGCAAGUGUGGGGAAAAAAAGAUUCCCCUGCCUAGAGGGGCCCCGCACGAAGAUGGACACUACGCUGACAAUCAUUAUUGCAGUUGCGGUUCUGUAUAACUUUGGCAAGAGGCAAGCUACCCGAGGCUGAGGAGGACCUACCUGAGAAGAAUGAAGAUGGCCAGGUGCAACAUGCUGCCAAUGCAAAUGGAAAUGCUGUGAGAACCUUGAUUGAGAACAAUUUUUCAGCCUAAGGGUGGAACUGGAAGCACCAGAACACAAGAGUGGAGACAAGACUGGAGGAUACCAAAUCGCUUGGGAAAGCAUUGUUUUUAAUAAAUAAUUGUUUUAAUAAAUAAUUGCUUAAAUAAAUAAAAAGAUCAGCAUUCUUUACACAGUGGGCAUUUGUUUCCCUGAAGGGGUUUCUGAAUUUGCAGUAGCUCUUUUUGUAAAUUCAGGACCUCAAUCUGCAGUAGAAUUUUCUCUCUCCAGCUACAAAACAUCAAUAUGAGCUUGGUUCAUGUCAGUUCUGGGGACGUUUUGUUUGGCAUGUGUCAUGUUUUUGCUGCUGGCACGCAACAUCCAGGCACUGCUGUUUCUCCAUGGCACAGUGUGUCAGCUCAACUAAAGGAAAAAAAAGAAAGAAAAUGAACUCAUUAUUAGUAGGCUAUUUACGUGCCCAUUUUGUACAACAAUUGAAUUGGGCCCUAUGAUAUGCCCAGCCUUGGUACGAAUGAUGAUGUUAUGUGACAUGCUGUAACGGGCCUGUUAACGGUAACAUUGUGAAGUAGAAUUAACGUUCGUUGAUAUUUACCAGUUAUUUAUACUUACUAAAUAUUGGUGGUUGAGUUGUCCAUUGUCAUCAUAGUGGUUAAGGAGAGGGGGAAACUGCUGGGGAAUCAUCUCGCAUAUCUUCUGGGAGAGAGGAUCAGUUCCCUUGGACGGAGGCCUGAAAUAGCCCCCGCCUUUCCUCCUCCGCAUCCUUUUUGGCUUUCACUUGUAAGUUUUUCGAGCACACUUUCAUCUGAUUUGGGUCCCACUUUUCUUUAAUCCUUGUCGAUCCUUUAAAUCUGUCGCAUAAAAUGGUCCAGGUGUCUUACUUCUUUUUGA